AUUGAACGCUGGCGGCAUGCCUAACACAUGCAAGUCGAACGGGGGGUAGCGAUACCCUAGUGGCGGACGGGUGAGGAAUGCGUAGGAAUCUACCCACGAGAGGGGGACAACCUGGGGAAACUCAGGCUAAUACCGCAUACGCUCGUAAGAGGAAAGCGGGGGAUCUUCGGACCUCGCGCUGGUGGAAGAGCCUACGUCCGAUUAGCUGGUUGGUGAGGUAAAGGCUCACCAAGGCGACGAUCGGUAGCGGGUCUGCGAGGACGGCCCGUCACACUGGGACUGAGACACGGCCCAGACUCCUACGGGAGGCAGCAGUGGGGAAUAUUGGACAAUGGGCGCAAGCCUGAUCCAGCAAUGCCGCGUGGGUGAAGACGGCCUGCGGGUUGUAAAGCCCUUUAGGCGGGGAGGAACGACGGGACGCGAAUACCGUUUCGAAGUGACGUUACCCGCAGAAUAAGCACCGGCUAACUCCGUGCCAGCCGCCGCAGUAA
rnacentral:rRNA from 1 species